rnacentral:rRNA from 1 species
AACGUACGCUGGCGGCAUGCCUAACACAUGCAAGUCGAACGAGACCUUCGGGUCUAGUGGCGCACGGGUGCGUAACGCGUGGGAACCUGCCCUUAGGUUCGGAAUAACUCCCCGAAAGGGGUGCUAAUACCGGAUAAUGUCUUCGGACCAAAGAUUUAUCGCCUUUGGAUGGGCCCGCGUUGGAUUAGCUAGUUGGUAGGGUAAAAGCCUACCAAGGCGACGAUCCAGAGCUGGUCUGAGAGGAUGAUCAGCCACACUGGGACUGAGACACGGCCCAGACUCCUACGGGAGGCAGCAGUGGGGAAUAUUGGACAAUGGGCGAAAGCCUGAUCCAGCAAUGCCGCGUGAGUGAUGAAGGCCUUAGGGUUGUAAAGCUCUUUUACCCGGGAUGAUAAUGACAGUACCGGGAGAAUAAGCUCCGGCUAACUCCGUG